UCGUACUCGGACGGUGUGGACACCGUUGCCCUAAUUGUGAACGCCAACCGACGCCGAUGCAAUGCCGCGCUUUUCUUCUUCGCCUUUUACUUAUGCUCUCCUAUAUCUCUAUGUAUGUGUGAGAGGAAUCUGUACAUUUUUAUCCCUUAAUGCUAAAUUAUGAGUAAGUCCAAUAUAUAGUUCUUACUUAUAACCGGGAUUUUAUCUGGCGCUGCUGUUUGCCACCAUAUGCUUCAUACCUCAACCUUAGCUAACAUGACGUUCGACUCCAGCAUGCUAGUAGUCUGCGAGGAU